rnacentral:rRNA from 1 species
CCUACGGGAGGCAGCAGUGAGGAAUAUUGGUCAAUGGACGAGAGUCUGAACCAGCCAAGUAGCGUGAAGGAUGACUGCCCUAUGGGUUGUAAACUUCUUUUAUAUGGGAAUAAAACGUUCCACGUGUGGGAUUUUGUAUGUACCAUAUGAAUAAGGAUCGGCUAACUCCGUGCCAGCAGCCGCGGUAAUACGGAGGAUCCGAGCGUUAUCCGGAUUUAUUGGGUUUAAAGGGAGCGUAGGUGGAUUGUUAAGUCAGUUGUGAAAGUUUGCGGCUCAACCGUAAAAUUGCAGUUGAAACUGGCAGUCUUGAGUACAGUAGAGGUGGGCGGAAUUCGUGGUGUAGCGGUGAAAUGCGUAGAUAUCACGAAGAACUCCGAUUGCGAAGGCAGUUCACUGGACUGCAACUGACACUGAGGCUCGAAAGUGUGGGUAUCAAACAGGAUUAGAUACCCUAGUAGUC